UACGGAGGAUGCGAGCGUUAUCCGGAUUUAUUGGGUUUAAAGGGUGCGUAGGCGGUUUUAUAAGUUAGAGGUGAAAAUUCGGGGCUCAACUCCGGACGUGCCUCUAAUACUGUAUGACUAGAGAAUAGAUGCGGUAGGCGGAAUGUAUGGUGUAGCGGUGAAAUGCGUAGAGAUCAUACAGAACACCGAUUGCGAAGGCAGCUUACCAGUCUGCGACUGACGCUCAGGCACGAAAGUGUGGGUAUCGAACAGG
rnacentral:rRNA from 1 species